rnacentral:rRNA from 1 species
AACGAACGCUGGCGGCAGGCUUAACACAUGCAAGUCGAACGGGUGUAGCAAUACAUCAGUGGCAGACGGGUGAGUAACACGUGGGAACCUUCCUAAGGGUACGGAACAACUCAGGGAAACUUGAGCUAAUACCGUAUACGUCCGUGAGGAGAAAGAUUUAUCGCCCUUAGACGGGCCCGCGUCGGAUUAGGUAGUUGGUGGGGUAACGGCCUACCAAGCCUACGAUCCGUAGCUGAUCUUAGAGGAUGAUCAGCCACACUGGGACUGAGACACGGCCCAGACUCCUACGGGAGGCAGCAGUGGGGAAUCUUGGACAAUGGGCGCAAGCCUGAUCCAGCCAUGCCGCGUGAGUGAAGAAGGCCUUAGGGUUGUAAAGCUCUUUUACCAGGGACGAUAAUGACGGUACCUGGAGAAUAAGCCCCGGCAAACUUCGUGCCAGCCGCCGCAGUAAGAC